GAUGAACGCUGACAGAAUGCUUAACACAUGCAAGUCGAUUCAAUUUACCUUCGGGUAUUGAGGAUGGCGGACGGGUGAGUAACGCGUAAGGAACUUGCCUCUUGGUCUGGGACAACUGUUGGAAAUGACAGCUAAUACCGGAUAUUAUGAGAUUCUCGCAUGGGAAACUUAUGAAAGCUAUAUGCGCCAAGAGAGAGCCUUGCGUUCCAUUAGCUAGUUGGUGGGGUAACGGCCCACCAAGGCGACGAUGGAUAGCCGGCCUGAGAGGGUGAACGGCCACAAGGGGACUGAGACACGGCCCUUACUCCUACGGGAGGCAGCAGUGGGGAAUAUUGGANNNNGGGNNNNNNGCCUGAUCCAGCAAUUCUGUGUGCACGAUGAAGGUCUUCGGAUUGUAAAGUGCUUUCAGUUGGGAAGAAGAAAGUGACGGUACCAACAGAAGAAGCGACGGCUAAAUACGUGCCAGCAGCCGCGGUAAUACGUAUGUCGCAAGCGUUAUCCGGAUUUAUUGGGCGUAAAGCGCGUCUAGGCGGAAAAAUAAGUCUGAUGUUAAAAUGCGGGGCUCAACUCCGUAUUGCGNUG
rnacentral:rRNA from 1 species